GGACAGCUUAGGCUUUUGAUUUGGGUGAGUGGCUGCUCUGACUGCGUGGAGAUCUGCCUGGGCAUCAAGCAGAGAAGGCCUCAAUCCACCACUAUCUCUGCACAGGAAGGGUUAGGAAACUCAGGCUGCUGGUCCGGGCAAGCAGUUGCUCCAAAUGCAUGGAGUUCUGCCUGGAUGUGGAGUGAAGAGGCCCCCCUGCAUCAGGAUCUCUACACAGGAAGGAUGGCCGUAGCUCAGGCUGCUGAACCAGUGGAGGAAGAAAAGAGCGAAGGCAUUGCUUGUUUGCCAGCACAGAGCUGUACUUUGAAUGCAGUCCCAUGAUCCUGCACCCACCUGCCUCAACUACCGCAUGUUCACGCAAAUAAAAAUAUGUUACUGAGUAAAUGAACUGUAUCUGGGCGAAUAAAUGAACUGUAUCUGGGCAAAUAAAUGAAUUAAAUACUUAUAAA
rnacentral:lncRNA from 1 species